ACAUGGCGAAACCCUGGCUGUACAAAAAAUGCAAAAAUUAGCUAGAUAUGGUCAUGUGUGUCUGUGAUCCUAGCUACACAAGGAGGCUGAGGUGGGAGGAUUGCUUGAGCCUGGGAAGCAAAGGUUGCAGUGACCUGAGAUGGCACCACUGCCUUCCAGCCUGGGUGACGGCGGAAACCCUGUCUAAAAAAAAAAAAAAAAUGAGACGAAGUACUGGAAUCUGGUUUUCUCACUAUGGAAGACCCAGCAUUGGACCAGUGAGAAUAAGGUUUCACCUUUUGUUUUUCUCUAUUCUUUAGUUAUAGGUAUGGACACAGUAAGAGUCCUCAUUUCAAAGAGAAGAGCCCAGUCAGGGAGCCAGUUGAUAAUCUGAGUCCUGAGGAGCGUGAUGCCCGCACAGUUUUCUGUAUGCAGUUAGCUGCCCGAAUUCGGCCUCGAGAUCUGGAGGACUUUUUCUCUGCUGUAGGCAAGGUUCGCGAUGUACGUAUCAUCUCAGAUCGGAACUCACGUCGUUCUAAGGGCAUUGCCUACGUGGAAUUCUGUGAAAUCCAGUCUGUGCCACUGGCCAUUGGGCUGACUGGGCAGCGGUUGCUGGGAGUGCCUAUCAUUGUACAGGCUUCACAG
rnacentral:sRNA from 1 species